CCGUACGAGCGCACCCCUAUCCCUAGUUGCUAGCAGUUCGGGCUGAGAACUCUAGGGAGACUGCCGGUGACAAACCGGAGGAAGGUGGGGAUGACGUCAGGUCAUCAUGGCCCUUACGGCCAGGGCUACACACGUGCUACAAAGGUGCGCACAGAGGGCUGCAAACCCGCGAGGGGGAGCCAAUCUCACAAAACGCAUCGUAGUCCGGAUCGCAGUCUGCAACUCGACUGCGUGAAGUCGGAAUCGCUAGUAAUCGUGAAUCAGAAUGUCACGGUGAAUACGUUCCCGGGCCUUGUACACACCGCCCGUCACACCAUGGGAGUGGAUUGCACCAGAAGUGGUUAGUCUAACCUUCGGGAGGACGAUCACCACGGUGUGGUUCAUGACUGGGGUGAAGUCGUAACAAGGUAGCCGUAGGGGAACCUGCGGCUGGAUCACCUCCUU
rnacentral:rRNA from 1 species